rnacentral:lncRNA from 12 species
AUUCGGACCUCUCCCGGGCGCCGGCGGCGGGGUCCCGGGGCUGCCGCCGUUCGCGCCCCGUGCGCCCCGGGCACCGGCCGCCGAACUUCUUCCCGGGACGGAGACCGCGCUCGCGCCCUGGGCCGAGGUGGGAGCCCGCGGGGCUGCGUAGGGCGAGGGCGAAUGGCUCCCGGCGGCGGCGGUGGCGGUGGCCGCGGCCGCGGCGGCGGGGAGGGAGGUCCGGAGAGGUCAGCUGCACGGCGGGCAGCACCCCCCCGCCCCCCAGGACCCAGCGGCACCCGGUGGGCGCGGGGGUAGGCGCCCUGCCUUGGGCCGAGGUCCUCCGCUCCAGUUUUCAAGGCCCUGGCGGGACCCUGUGCCCCAGAAGCUGCCUCUGGACCUGUAGCUCCGGCAGGUCAAGACCCAGAGUGGAAGGUGGGGGGCACUUGGAUGCAGCCCCCCCCACCUCUCUCUCAGCCUGGCGAUUUCUCUACUGUCUGGAGCAGGGAUGUUGGGGCUGCGCAGCCCAGGAACUCCCUGCCUGGAGGAGAGCCAGCCUGGUCCCAGCUCCUCUCCCCCUCCGGGGUAGGGGUCCUUCAGUUUCAGAAAGUGAAAAAGCCACUUUGGGGCUGGGAGAGCCUUUUCUGCUGCCUGGGACCUGGUGGCGGUGCUGGUGGAUGUGCGGAAGAAGUGGUUCAGGGGGCUCAGGGGGGCUGUGCUUCACCCCCAUCCUGCUGCCCCCGCAUUGCUCAGCUCGGCUGGGAUCCUUUGCAGCCACCUGUUCCCGGCACCCAGGAGAAGCCAAUAAACCUUUGUGAAACGAGUGAGUGGUGUGGUGUGGACUUACUGGAAACUUGUUUCUGGAGAAUUUCAAGGUAUUUCGUUCUGCCCUUUUGCCUACUGGCAGCAGUGAGCAAGGUAGGGCAUGUGGGCAGUCAGCGCCCAGUGCGGCCUUACGGGACCUGCGGCGGAGAGCACGGUCCCUGGGAAGUCCCCGUGGGCGUGGGGUCUAAGGCGUCCUCCAUCCCCCGGCCACUGGGCCAAUCCGUUUCCCUUGCUGGGAUGAGCAGGCCUCCCACGGGUACCUGGGCCUCCCAUCACUGGGCUCACACAUGUCAUGUGCUUCAAGAAUGA